GGGUGGUCGGAGGGGUCCUGAUCCCGAAAUCCCGGUCUUAAAAACAUGAAAUCCCGAGAUGCAGAAUUUAAAGAAAUUCAUAUCCCGAAAUAUCGAAAUAAAAAAAUAUAUUCCCGGAUCCCGUAUUGAUCAAUCCCCAGAUCCCGAGCUUAAAAACACCCGAUCCCGAAGUCCCGAAAAAGGUCCUGCCUCCCUCUAGUCUCUACCCUACUUUCAUUUUUGCCAAAUCACUACUUUCACUUUCAACAAUAAAUUUUUAUGCCCCAUUUAUGUGCAUUAUGUUUUCUAGUCUGUACAUCCGUGCGUUCGUUCGUUCGUUCGUUCGU
rnacentral:lncRNA from 1 species